rnacentral:tRNA from 2 species
GGGCGCUUAGCUCAGUCGGUUCAGAGCGCUUCCCUUACAAGGAAGAGGUCGGCGGUUCGAGUCCGCCAGUGCCCA